rnacentral:rRNA from 1 species
CCCUUAGAUGUUCUGGGCCGCACGCGCGCUACACUGAUGCAUUCAGCGAGUCUAAAACCUGCUCUGAUAGGGGUGGGUAAUCUUUUGAAUGUGCAUCGUGAUUGGGAUAGAUGAUUGCAAUUUUUCAUCUUCAACGAGGAAUGCCUAGUAAACGCAAGUCAUCAGCUUGCAUUGAUUACGUCCCUGCCCUUUGUACACACCGCCCGUCGCUCCUACCGAUUGAAUGAUCCGAUGAAUAUCAUGGAUUGAGGAUGCAAGUAGGUUCGCCUAUCUUCAUCUUCGAGAAGUGAAGUAAAUCUUAUCAUUUAGAGGAAGGAGAAGUCGUAACA